AGCGCCGUAGCAUAACGGUAAUGCAACGGACUUUGACUCCGUAAACGGUAGUUCGACACUAUCCGGCGCUG
rnacentral:tRNA from 1 species